rnacentral:rRNA from 1 species
GGGGAGCAAACAGGAUUAGAUACCCUGGUUAGUCCACGCCCUAAACGAUGUCAACUAGUUGUCGGGUGACUUGAUCACUUGGUAACGCAGCUAACGCGUGAAGUUGACCGCCUGGGGAGUACGGUCGCAAGAUUAAAACUCAAAGGAAUUGACGGGGACCCGCACAAGCGGUGGAUUAUGUGGAUUAAUUCGAUGCAACGCGAAAAACCUUACCUACCCUUGACAUGUCCGGAACUUGCCAGAGAUGGCUUGGUGCCCGAAAGGGAACCGGAACACAGGUGCUGCAUGGCUGUCGUCAGCUCGUGUCGUGAGAUGUUGGGUUAAGUCCCGCAACGAAGCGCAACCCCCGUCAUUAGUUGCCAUCAUUCUAGUUGGUCACUUUGAUGAGACUGCCGGUGACUAAACGGGAGGAAGGUGGGGAUGGGGUCAAGUCAUCAUGGCCCUUAU